rnacentral:rRNA from 1 species
CAGUAGCCGCGGGAAUACGUAGGGUGCAAGCGUUAAUCGGAAUUACUGGGCGUAAAGCGUGCGUAGGCGGUGAGUUAAGUCUGCUGUGAAAUCCCCGGGCUCAACCUGGGAAUGGCAGUGGAUACUGGCUCGCUAGAGUGUGUCAGAGGAUGGUGGAAUUCCCGGUGUAGUGGUGAAAUGCGUAGAGAUCGGAAGGAACAUCUGUGGCGAAGGCGACUAUCUGGGCCAACACUGACACUGAGGCACGAAAGCGUGGGGAGCAAACAGGAUUAGAUACCCGUGUAGUCCCUGUCUCUUAUAC